GUURAUGAAUUAGAGGUGCUUGCACCGAAGAUGAUUUUAGCUAUAAAGUGAGUGGCGAACGGGUGAGUAACACGUGGGUAACCUGCCCAGAAGUGGGGGAUAACACCUGGAAACAGAUGCUAAUACCGCAUAACAAAGUAAACCGCAUGGUUUACUUUUAAAAGAUGGCUUCGGCUAUCACUUCUGGAUGGACCCGCGGCGUAUUAGCUAGUUGGUGAGAUAAAGGCUCACCAAGGCAGUGAUACGUAGCCGACCUGAGAGGGUAAUCGGCCACAUUGGGACUGAGACACGGCCCAGACUCCUACGGRAGGCAGCAGUAGGGAAUCUUCCACAAUGGACGAAAGUCUGAUGGAGCAACGCCGCGUGAGUGAUGAAGGCUUUAGGGUCGUAAAACUCUGUUGUUGGAGAAGAACGUGUGUGAGAGUAACUGCUCAUGCAGUGACGGUAUCCAACCAGAAAGCCACGGCUAACUACGUGCCAGCAGCCGCGGUAAUACGUAGGUGGCAAGCGUUAUCCGGAUUUAUUGGGCGUAAAGCGAGCGCAGGCGGUCUUUUAAGUCUAAUGUGAAAGCCUUCGGCUUAACCGAAGAAGUGCAUUGGAAACUGGAAGACUUGAGUGCAGAAGAGGACAGUGGAACUCCAUGUGUAGCGGUGAAAUGCGUAGAUAUAUGGAAGAACACCAGUGGCGAAGGCGGCUGUCUGGUCUGUAACUGACGCUGAGGCUCGAAAGCAUGGGUAGCGAACAGGAUUAGAUACCCU
rnacentral:rRNA from 1 species